rnacentral:rRNA from 1 species
AAUGAACGCUGGCGGCAGGCCUAAAACAUGCAAGUCGAACGCCCUAGCAAUAGGGAGUGGCGCACGGGUGAGUAACAUGUGGGAAUAUGCCUUUUGGUACGGAACAACGUUUGGAAACGAACGCUAAUACCGUAUGGUCCCUCCGGGGUAAAGAUUUAUCGCCAAAAGAUUAGCCCGCACUAGAUUAGCUAGUUGGUAAGGUAAUGGCUUACCAAGGCGACGAUCUAUAGCUGUUCUGAGAGGAAGAUCAGCCACACUGGGACUGAGACACGGCCCAGACUCCUACGGGAGGCAGCAGUUAGGAAUAUUGGACAAUGGGCGCAAGCCUGAUCCAGCCAUGCCGCGUGAGUGAUGAAGGCCUUCGGGUUGUAAAGCUCUUUAGCCGACGAAUAUAAUGACUGUAGUCGGAGAAUAAGCCCCGGCUAGCUUCGUGCCAGCCGCCGCAGUAAUAC